ACAGCGAACAGUUCACUUCGCUCUCAGCGGGGGGAGGCGAACACCAUCUCUAUGGGAAAUAAUCUCGAUUAUAAACAAGGGGGGACCCGGCCGCGAAAAGAUGAAUGGAUGGGGCCAGCGCGACGUCACAGCGAGCUGCAGCCAUGAAGCUCAAGACCAAGCGCGAGCCAACCUACAAGCGCUCAGUUGUUCUACAUCUCUUGACUCGCUCGGUUGAUUGUUGUGGAGAGCGUUUGUGACCGUAGCUGGCAGACACCGGGGAUUCAAUGGAGAGACAUAUAGGCGCAACAGAGCAGGUGGCAUAGGUCAGAAUCUGGCCCUUGCGUAUCACCUGUGGCACAAGAGGAUGGGCAGCCUUAGGGGUUGGUUGUUAUCUUUGGUUAUCUAGCUGUAUGAGUGAUGUACAUUCUUCAUAAAGCUAGAUAACCGAAAGUAACAAGAAUCCCAUUACGCUCCUGAAAGGCAUCAAGAUCCCCCAACACAUAUCCCCCAUGCCGCACCACCCCAUUCUACCAUUCACAGCAAAACAAGCAAAAAAAUGGCCGACAUCAUAGGACACGGGAGCAGACGAAAAAGUCAAACUACCAACACCACCGUGACAGAAUGCUGGCAAAAUGAGGCUGAAAAACAGGGAGAGGAAGAGAGGUUGCUGUUGACUCUGCCUCCCUCUUCUCGCCCUCCUCCGUAUCGCCUCUCCCCUUCUCCCCUCCCUCGCUUCAUCCUCAGCUGCCUUCCCCAUUCUCCUGUACCGCGAGACGUAGCCCACGCCACCAUCUUAGGACGACGCACGCUGGCAUGAAAUGGAAGUGAGGAUCAGAGAGAGCAGGCAAAUAAUGGUCCAGAACACUGAUAGAGGGCAGAAAAAACAGCGAGCAGUAAUCCAUUGGGAGAAGAAAAGUUGCCCACAAACUACCAACCCAUCCCUAGUAUUUGCAAUGGAACAGGCCCAUUACAACAAUGUUUGUCCACUAUACUCCGACUUGUACCCCAACAUUUGAGCAUCAGAGCACUUUAGCUGCCUCUGACGUGUGGUUGGACCUCCGGCCUGGGUUUUGUUAUCCAGCAAGGAACAAUCUGGAUUGGUUUUGUUUCCUUUCUUAAGCCAAUAAGAAAGUGGGUUGGUGGCGUGGAAAACAAGAGCAAAUAUCUCAGGAUCCAAGAUAAACAGAGAAGCAGGGAUUCUUGGAUACACUGUGCUAUGAAUGAGAUACAUUACAUGUGCUGUGUUCCUACAGUAUUUGCUUGCAGCCUCAAUGACAUCUACACAAAACAUUAAGAACACCUGCUCUUUCCAUGACAGACUGACCAGGUGAAUCCAGGUGAAAGCUAUGAUCCCUUAUUGAUGUCACUUGUUAAAUCCACUUCAAUCUGUGUAGAUGAAGGGAAGGAGACAGGUUAAAGAAGGAUUUUUAAGCCUUGAGACAAUUGAGACAUGGAUUGUGUGUGUGCCAUUCAGAGCGUGAAUGGGCAAGACAAAAAAAUGUAAGUGCCUUUGAACGGGGUAUGGUAGUAGGUGCCAGGCACACCGGUUUGUGUCAAGAACUGCAACACUGCUGGGUUUUUCACACUUAACAGUUUCCCGUGUGUAUCAAGAAUGGUCCACCAGCCAAAGGACAUCCAGCCAACUUGACACAACUGUGGGAAGUAUUGGAGUCAACAUAGGCCAGCGUCCUUGUUGAACGCUUUUUGACACCUUGUAGAGUCCAGGCCCCAACGAGUUGAGGCUGCAACUCAAUAGUAGGAAGGUGUCCUUAAAUGUUUUGUACACUCAGUGUAUGUACAUGUGAGGAAAUGUUCAUUGCAAUACAGAUUCUUAAGUGCAAACAUUUAUAUAAUAGCAUAGAGCACUUUACUACUACUACUACUACUACUACUACUACUUUAAUUUAAAGUAAAUAACAAUGUAUGAAUGGAGUCCAUGGUGUUGCAUGGGAAUGUUGUAUAACAAGCUGUAUAAAUAACAUAGACCUACCUAGAUCAUAAUGGUUAGAAUUUUAGCCCAUUUUUAUGUUUAUGUUUUAUUAUUUACUAGUUGCUAUGACAGACAGAUACAUGAAUGUGAGACCCACGGCAGCAGUGAAGAAUACUGCACUGCGAUUAGACGGCUCCGUGUGUCAUAUGACACACAAGUGAAUGGGAGAGCUGUUGUCUUUAUACUCUAUGCAACUGUUUUUGGUCUGCUACCAAAUAUAUUGGGCAAGCCGCCAACUGGAUUAUUUUUGGGCGAACAAUCUCAUGAAAUAUUAUGCUGUUUAUUCAGUUCUCUCUCACAGUGUAGGUUUUUUGUGUCUGUCUGUCUGUCUGUCUGUCUGUCUGUCUGUCUGUCUGUCUGUCUGUCUGUCUGUCUGUCUGUCUGUCUGUCUGUCUGUCUGUCUGUCUGUCUGUCUGUCUGUCUGUCUGUCUGUGUGUCUGUCUGUGUGUCUGUGUGCUUGUGCGUGUGCGUGUGUGAAAGCGAGAGAGAGACAGAGAAAGUUAGACAUUACAGAUGAACAUAACACAUUUGAUUUAUAAAACAAAUUGUGGAGAGACAUUUUAGUUUUAAUUUUUCAAUAACAGAAUUCAAUAUGCUGGCCCUAAGCCUCUGCCAAUGCGAAUCAGUGUAGGAAUUACACAUUUAUAGGGAGUAAGCUAGGCUGCACGGGCAGAACAUACUAAACCACUAAAGCUUUCCAAGUAGGCUUUGAAUGCAGUAGCCUGGCUUUCCCUAGCAAACCACAUCAGCGUAAUACAAGGUACUUCAGAGUAAGACAUGAUAAAUACAGAGAUUUCAAAGGCUUUCUUCAUUUCCUGUCCGAGACAUUAUCGCAUACACUCACACACACACACACACACACACAAUACACAUGCGAGCAAAUGCAUUAAUGCAAGCACUAUCAUAGACUAGUUUGUUUUAUAUACAUUUUCAGAAAGUGGCACAUUUUUAUUCCAAUUGAUAAUCUAUGCAAAUAUUUGAAGUAUUUAUUUUAACAAUCUAUUCAGUGCUUGUACAAUUGAGUUGAAGGAGACUAUCUUGGUCUGAAUUUGUAAAUGUAUUAUUUUGAUAAUCACAAUGCUAUAUUAUUACUUAUCUGCCUGGAUAAGCUUGAAAUUGAACAACAUUUUUAGUCCAUAACUAAAAGUCCCUUUAGGGAUGGCUAAAACCAGUCUAUUCGCAUACAUUCAACAAAGUGUGGUCGCUGAAGUUAUUCAAUAAUUCUAUGUUUCUUGUUUUGUUUUGCACCAAGAUGAAACGUCUAUUCAGAUAUUUUAAAGCAACCGAUGUUGUUUGUGUUAUGCAAUCUAAUAUGUAUUAUGUAAUGCUAGAAUGCACUGAAUGAACCACAUGUGCCUUUGUAUGAAAAACAAACUGUCUUGUCAUGGAUUAGUAAUAAAAGUUUACAUUGAAAACAAACAGAAAA